UUUUUAACAGCCUGAAAUGUAUUUAUAUUCUGAUUAUGCUGAGCAGACUGGAAGCAGAAAUCCCAAAACAAGCGUCUUUGAAGGUGUGGUGACUUUAGGGAUAAAAUUAGGUUUAGUUUAUGUCAGUGGUCUGCAGAAAAUAGGGUGUUUUAUAAUUGUCCUUUCUCUCUCUCUCUCUUGCUCUCUCUCUCUCUCUUCUCUCUCUCUCUUUCUCUCUCUCUGUGUCUUUCUUUGAUUAUCCAAGAGAGAAGCUUAUGUUGAGUAAUUUUAAGCAGACACUGACUUUUUCUGCCUUUCUUGACAUCAAAUCCAAGUUUAGUCCAUUUGGAUGUCAUGUUAUGUAUGACAAAUUUUCAGUAUUUUUUUUUUUUCAUUUUACGUAUUAACACAUAAAAUGAAAAGGUUUACAUUUGAAAGUCAUAUAUUUAGAAAGUAGAGCUUAGUGACACUUAGUGUAGUAAAAAAAAAAUCCCAGCUAUGCUAAAUAUGUAGCUUACUACUUUAUUCUGCAACAUCAACUUUGCAGCGUUCUGUUGCUACGUUGUAUUUAUACUGGGAUGUUAUCCUCCGCCCCUCUAAAAAUAAAAGAGUGGUGCCUUGCAGAAGUCAAAGGUCUCUGAGUUCAGGUUCAGAGAAAGCGUUGUUGUGGUAUGUAUGAACUCUUGAGCCUUUAUUUACAGUGUGAGCAUGCUCAUUGUCCUUCACUGUUCUUAGGUGUGAUGUUAUUCCCCUCAUCUAUGCGCCCACUUUCAAAACAAACUAAACAGAGCCUUUGCUGAAAAAGCAGGAAAGUAUUAGAAUGAUUGUUGUGCUUCUCACUGCUAUUAACAGUAAAUAGAAAUAAAUAAAUGAGUGUAACUUCCAUCACUGAGGAAAUAUGAUUAUAUUUUGAAGAACCAUGCAUGUCUUAGUUUUUAUGUGAUAAACUUUUUUUCCCCUCCCAAACUGUAACAAUGAAUUAAAUACACAGCAGCCAAUUUGGAUGUUGAACUUGGAUCAGAUAGGGAACUAUUAAUUUCCCAAGUCUAUAUUCAGAUUUCUCUUAGUUUUAUGUGAUUCAUCUAAACAUGCUGUGUGAAAGGUACUCCUGCUGUUCAGUGCACAUCAAAAGCCUUUUGGGAAUGUUCCAGAUGAGUAUGAAUUAAAACAAUAUUUUAAUUAUUAUUAUAUAUCUCAAAUUGUAAAAUGAUUGAAUUAAAAUAACUUUAUUCCAACCCAACAGGAAAACCCUUUCGUCUGCUUGGAUCUCCAAAAAAAUUCCCGUCAUCUUUCCAGAAGUCACCGACUGUCCGAAACCUCUGACUGUAAGGUCAUGAGAACCCCAAGACUCAUUGGGGAAUCCUCACGGGAGAAGUUGCAGCUCCAGUUUGUUUACAGACGACCACUUCCUACGCCAAUGAGGUCACAGCGCGUCGUGUUCAACAUUCCUUGUGCUGCAAAUAUAAUAAAAUGUGCUGAAGGACGACCGAGCACAUGUGGUUCAGAGCCCACUGUUGUUUAUUCUCAACACUUAGUUUGGAGUUAGUAUGGGUGGGCUUCUUAUAACACCCAGCAGACACACCCUGCGUGGGAUAAGCUCGAAAUAGUGGUACUAAAUUCCUGAUUAAAAUUGUGCGAAUGUUAGUAUAAUGCAGUAACUCAAAUUAUUACACUCAAGAACCAGAUAAGAUAUGAAAAAAUAUAUACAAAAGCAAUUGAUUUCGCAAAAGUGAAAAGAAAAUUAAUAAUAAGCUGAAAAUGUAAGGUUAAAAAUGCUAUUUAAUUGUAUAAAGAUUUCCGUCUUUGCUCAGGUCCCAUUGACUCAGAUCACAAAAGCUCAGGGCUUAGAUCUACACUGACAACCAUCAAAAUGUGAAUGUGAAACAUUUUUUGUGAUUUGAAAAAAAUAAAAAAAUUCUUUGUGCAGCAGUGAGAGAUGGUUGUGCUUGUUCUUAGAAAUCAGCACCAAGCUGUGAACAGAUGCAAUAUACAGGCGACCUGUAGGGGCACUGUGGAGGAUUCAUUGAGGAUCCAACUGCUGACACUAACUGCAAGAUACAUUGAGAAAAUGAUGUUUUUGAAACUGCCUUUCUAAUCUUUUCUCCUUUUUUUAAUAAAGAAGGAAAUUAA